GGCGAACGGGUGAGUAACACGUGAGUAACCUGCCCUUGACUCUGGGAUAACCUCCGGAAACGGAAGCUAAUACCAGAUAUGACGUGCGGAGGCAUCUCCUGUACGUGGAAAGAAUUUCGGUCAAGGAUGGACUCGCGGCCUAUCAGGUAGUUGGUGAGGUAAUGGCUCACCAAGCCUACGACGGGUAGCCGGCCUGAGAGGGUGACCGGCCACACUGGGACUGAGACACGGCCCAGACUCCUACGGGAGGCAGCAGUGGGGAAUAUUGCACAAUGGGCGCAAGCCUGAUGCAGCAACGCCGCGUGAGGGAUGACGGCCUUCGGGUUGUAAACCUCUUUUAGUAGGGAAGAAGCGAAAGUGACGGUACCUGCAGAAAAAGCUCCGGCUAACUCCGUGCCAGCCGCCGCGG
rnacentral:rRNA from 1 species